rnacentral:lncRNA from 1 species
CUGGAUUUAACCCUAGCUUUCUGUUUUCUCUUUUUUGGAGAGAGAAUCUCCUGUGGGGAAUGCAGAGAGAUGAGAGGUGCUUUGUUGACCAAGAGUGAACUCUGUGGCCGUGCUAAGCGGUGUAUCGGCGGCAGAAAUUGCCACCGGAAACACGUCGAAGACGGGUGAUCUGUUUCUCAGUCCACCGGAUCGCAUAAUCUUGCUCCUGUUUAUUUUUUUUUCUCAGAAUUUUCUUUUUUCCAUUACUCGCACCUGAACAUCUCAUAUUCUCUUUGUAUAUUCUGUUUGACAAAAAUAUUCUCUGUACCGAAUCUCUCUUUGUAUCCAUGGGAGAAAGGCGCAGAGAUGGUCAGUCAACCCUGCUCCAUGGGAGAUACGAGCUCGGCCGGAUGCUGGGACAUGGCACCUUCGCUAAGGUCUACCUUGCUCGCAAUUUACAGUCGGGAAAGAGCGUGGCGAUGAAGGUGGUCGGUAAAGAGAAGGUGAUCAAGGUCGGUAUGAUGGAGCAAAUCAAGA